UACGUAGGGUGCGAGCGUUAAUCGGAAUUACUGGGCGUAAAGCGUGCGCAGGCGGUUUUGUAAGCCAGAUGUGAAGGCCCCGAGCUUAACCCUGGGAAUGGCAUUUGGGACUGCAAGGCUUGAGUGCGGCAGAGGAGACUGGAAUUCCUGGUGUAGCAGUGAAAUGCGUAGAUAUCAGGAGGAAUACCGAUGGCGAAGGCAGGUCUCUGGGCUGACACUGACGCUCAUGCACGAAAGCGUGGGGAGCGAAACAAGG
rnacentral:rRNA from 1 species